GGGGCCGCGGCGGCGCUCGGGCGGGCGGACUACUUGACGUGUCGGUGCGGCGAAUUUAUUUCACUUUGCCUAAGGAACGGGGUGUGCUGCGGCCCCCAUUGCCUAGGGAAAAAACCCGGAUGUAAAAUAGUGACGAGGAGUGGAACCAAGAGGACCUGGAUUCCGACACCUAACACGUAUCACUCCUUUUCAACUAAGGCUAAAAAGUAACCCCAUUGUCUCCUAAAGGUCAGCUUAAGAACAUCUGAACUCUGGAAACCUGAGCACCCUCCUUCUUCACUGAGGCAAGAGGCCUGGCAUUCCUUCACACUGAAAGAAGAUGUCACUGUGUACUUGAAUGGACUUGGAU
rnacentral:lncRNA from 1 species